rnacentral:lncRNA from 1 species
CCUCAGUCUUCUCGCGCAUAACUUUCAUACCCUCGAUGAAUUUAUGAUUCGUCCACAUUCGACGUUCAUAAAUCUACAACUUCCAGUGACUUCAACUGUAUAUUAUCAUCUUCAGCCUUAUAUUAUCCUCCUCGUACUAUACACAAAACAUAUUUUAUUUACUUUAAAAGCUGUAGAAUCUGAAAUUGAAGCAUAUUAGCUAGAUUGAAGGAUGGAAAUAAGAGAAAGAAGAUAGAAAAGACACAAGAUAGAAGAAGUAAAAGAAAACAACAGGAAAGCCCCAUGGAAACUCCUCAAAAAGACAAAAAGCAUCUAGGNUGGACAAAA